ACUGCUAUCGGGGUGGGACUAAGACAUGCGAGUCGAGCGUCUCUAGCUAUGUUGAGACGCGGCAUACGGCUCAGUAACACGUGGCUAACCUACCCUCAGGACGGGGACAAACCCGGGAAACUGGGGCUAAUAUCCGAUAGGCGAGGAAUCCUGGAAUGGUUCUUCACCCAAAGGACAUUGGAAACAUGCUUUCUCUGUCGCCUGGGGAUGGGGCCGCGUCCGAUCAGGUUGUUGGUGAGGUAAUGGCUCACCAAGCCUUUAACCGGUACGGGCCGUGAGAGCGGUAGCCCGGAGAUGGGUACUGAGACAAGGACCCAGGCCCUACGGGGCGCAGCAGUCGCGAAAACUCCGCAAUGCACGAAAGUGUGACGGGGCUACCCCGAGUGCCGUCCGCUGAGGAUGGCUUUUCCUUGGUGUAACUAGCCGGGGGAAUAAGGAGAGGGCAAGACUGGUGUCAGCCGCCGCGGUAAUACCAGCUCUCCGAGUGGUAGGGAUGAUUAUUGGGCUUAAAGCGUCCGUAGCCGGUUUAGCAAGUUUCCUGUUAAAUUCAGCGACCUAAUCGUUGAGCCGCGGGAAAUACUACUAGGCUAGGAGGCGGGAGAGGUCGACGGUACUUCUGGGGUAGGGGUGAAAUCCUAUAAUCCCGGGAGGACCACCAGUGGCGAAGGCUGUCGACUAGAACGCGCUCGACGGUGAGGGACGAAAGCUGGGGGAGCGAACCGGAUUAGAUACCCGGGUAGUCCCAGCUGUAAACGAUGCGGGCUAGGUGUUGGGGUGGCUACGUGCCACUUCAGUGCCGCAGGGAAGCCAUUAAGCCCGCCGCCUGGGGAGUACGGCCGCAAGGCUGAAACUUAAAGGAAUUGGCGGGGGAGCACCACAAGGCGUGAAG
rnacentral:rRNA from 1 species